rnacentral:rRNA from 1 species
GUUGGCUGUCCAGAUGAUUAAAAAUCAUUUGUUAGCAAGGGCCGGGCAAGACCGGUGCCAGCCGCCGCGGUAACACCGGCGGCCCGAGUGGUAGCCGUUUUUAUUGGGUCUAAAGGGUCCGUAGCCGGCCUGAUAAGUCCUUUGGGAAAUCUGGCAGCUUAACUGUCAGGCUUCUAAGGGAUACUGUCAGGCUUGGGACCGGAAGAGGUAAGGGGUACUCCAGGGGUAGGAGUGAAAUCUUGUAAUCCCUGGGGGACCAUCUGUGGCGAAGGCGUCUUACCAGAACGGGUCCGACGGUGAGGGACGAAAGCUAGGGGAGCAAACCGGAUUAGAUACCCGGGUAGUCCUAGCUGUAAACGAUGCUCGCUAGGUGUCAGACACGGUGCGACCGUGUUUGGUGCCGCAGGGAAGCCGUUAAGCGAGCCACCUGGGAAGUACGGUCGCAAGGCUGAAACUUAAAGGAAUUGGCGGGGGAGCACUACAACGGGUGGAGCCUGCGGUUUAAUUGGAUUCAACGCCGGAAAACUCACCGGGUGCGACAGCAAUAUGUAGGUCAGGCUGAAGGUCUUACCUGAAUCGCUGAGAGGAGGUGCAUGGCCGUCGUCAGUUCGUACUGUGAAGCAU